CCCUUUUGUUAAUCUUUUGCAUGCUCUAGGUGCCCUUUUUCAUUGGAGUUACCAGUUUCACUGUGUGAUAGGGGAAACACUUAUCUUUGUACUCUUUAUUCUGAUAAAACACAAGCAUCACAGAUAGAUGCCAUCAAAUAAAACAGUCAGAUACGUUUUAGUUUAAUUUCUAUAUUAAACUAAAAUAUAAUAAGCAGGAUCUUCUUUUUAUUUAGAAUGAUCGAUUCUUCUCUUUGAACUCUGAAAAUGGUUGAUGUACACUUUUUGAGGGAGGGUGGGGGGUCUAAAAAAGUGUAUGUUUUGUACACUUUGGAAAAUGGUUGACAAUUAUGGAUGACCCCUAACAUGACAGUAAACAAUAACUACACUUCGACACAUAUAUAUUACAAUGGACACAUGACAAGGGGUUUAUGUCAGGGCUUCCAAAAAAACAUUGAGCCAGCCGGACAUUUUAUAUCUGAUUCCGAUUUUAAUCCCUUAAGACUUAAUCACAAAAGGCAAUUAUGGUAAUCAGAUGGCCAUUCCAAUGAUAAUG
rnacentral:lncRNA from 1 species